UUAUGUAUGUAUAAUAUGAAAUGCAUAGUAGAAGAUACGAGCUCGUAUACAUGUCAGAUAGCCACCCCUGGAAUCCCACGCUUGACGUCUAUUUCAGUAGUUUGCGGAGGCUAAAAUUGGCAACGACGAUCUAUGAAUAGCCAACAAAUAAUCACGUUUAUCGCGAAAACCAACUCUCCGACGAUAAAACAGACUCACGUCGAGUUUAACGAACUGCCGAGUGACAAGUCGUUAAACCUUGCAAGGAUAAUCCUUAGGGUAAAGAAGAGUGGCGGAUGCGCCAUGAGGAUCCUCCUUACCGUCGUAGAGGUUAUGUGGAAUAUAUUUUACAUCUGUCUAUUAUUAUCAUCAUCGGAUACUUAUUUCUUCAGUGUGGAACGGUUAUUGAGAUUGUGAUUACUCCUGUUUAUUCUUCCUAGUCACUAGAUGUUGGCAUUCAGUAGGAAGGACUGUACACACACGCACGCACGCACACACACAUGUAUAAAUUGUGAAAAGGCUCCAUAGAGCAGUAGCAUGGUGGCAGCUAUAUCACAGCAUGUGGGACCCAGAUUCAUGUUUGAUAGAAGCUAAUGUAAGGUUGGAUAUCCUGCUGAGCCACAAACUACGUCCACACUGAAUACUUGGCUGAGGAAUGAAAUGGCAUAAAAAUAAAGGUACAGGGACGACUGGAAAUACAUUAUGGGUGAUACAAGUAUAUGGGGGGUUGUCGCGACGUCAGGAUCAGGACAUAAAACGUAAAGACGUCGAGAGACCGAAGAUUCUUGUUUAUCGAGGAAAACAUUGCUGUCAUUUACAUAAACAAGCCUAGAUUCUGUUACGAUAAAUCUAGGCCUCGGCACUGGCCGAUAGAAUGGAAUAUUAAAUUCUGGCUAACACGCGUUACAUAUAUGUAUAAAUACACACAGCUAGGAUUCUCAUUUCUUCAUGCAAUAUAUA